rnacentral:rRNA from 1 species
UUCCCUAGUUAGCGGCGAGCGAGCGGGAAGAGCUCAAAUUUAUAAUCUGGCACCUUCGGUGUCCGAGUUGUAAUCUCUAGAAAUGUUUUCCGCGUUGGACCGCACACAAGUCUGUUGGAAUACAGCGGCAUAGUGGUGAGACCCCCGUAUAUGGUGCGGACGCCCAGCGCUUUGUGAUACAUUUUCGAAGAGUCGAGUUGUUUGGGAAUGCAGCUCAAAUUGGGUGGUAAAUUCCAUCUAAAGCUAAAUAUUGGCGAGAGACCGAUAGCGAACAAGUACCGUGAGGGAAAGAUGAAAAGCACUUUGGAAAGAGAGUUAACAGUACGUGAAAUUGUUGGAAGGGAAACGCUUGAAGUCAGACUUGCUUGCCGAGCAAUCGGUUUGCAGGCCAGCAUCAGUUUUCCGGGAUGGAUAAUGGUAGAGAGAAGGUAGCAGUUUCGGCUGUGUUAUAGCUCUCUGCUGGAUACAUCUUGGGGGACUGAGGAACGCAGUGUGCCUUUGGCGGGGGUUUCGACCUCUUCACACUUAGGAUGCUGGUGGAAUGGCUUUAAACGACCCGUCUUGAACCACGGACC